rnacentral:rRNA from 1 species
UGGGGAAUAUUGGACAAUGGGCGAAAGCCUGAUCCAGCCAUGCCGCGUGUGUGAAGAAGGUCUUCGGAUUGUAAAGCACUUUAAGUUGGGAGGAAGGGCAGUAAAUUAAUACUUUGCUGUUUUGACGUUACCGACAGAAUAAGCACCGGCUAACUCUGUGCCAGCAGCCGCGGUAAUACAGAGGGUGCAAGCGUUAAUCGGAAUUACUGGGCGUAAAGCGCGCGUAGGUGGUUCGUUAAGUUGGAUGUGAAAUCCCCGGGCUCAACCUGGGAACUGCAUUCAAAACUGACGAGCUAGAGUAUGGUAGAGGGUGGUGGAAUUUCCUGUGUAGCGGUGAAAUGCGUAGAUAUAGGAAGGAACACCAGUGGCGAAGGCGACCACCUGGACUGAUACUGACACUGAGGUGCGAAAGCGUGGGGAGCAAAGCAGGAUUAGAUACCCUGGUAGUCCACGCC